rnacentral:rRNA from 1 species
CGCGUAGGCGGUUAUUUAAGUCGGUUGUGAAAACCCUGGGCUUAACCUAGGAAUUGCAAUCGAUACUGAAUAUUCUUGAGUAUGGUAGAGGAAAGUGGAAUUCUCGGUGUAGUGGUUAAAUACGUAGAUAUCGAGAAGAACACCGGUGGCGAAGGCGGCUUUCUGGACCUAUACUGACGCUGAGGCGCGAAAGCGUGGGGAGCAAACA